rnacentral:rRNA from 1 species
AUGCGUUCUGCCCGCGACGGGCGUGUGCUGCUGCUUUUCUACUCGCCCUUCGUUCUACCCAGUGGCAUUGGUGGUCCCCUGCUUUGGGUUGGUCCCGCUUGGCUGUCAGCAGCGAGAGAAAGAGAAAAGAAAAAGCGAGCGAGCAGCAGCCAAAGAAAAGAAAAAGGAGAAGCGAGCGGGCAGCAGCGAGACCUAGCCGGCUUCUCCCCGCAGCCGCCUCCUCUCCUGCUGCCGCCGCCGCCUCUCCUUUCUCACCCUCACCGGCCACCGGCCACCUCCCACCCCUCCUUCUCCGCCUCGUCGCCCUGGCCACCUUGUGCUGGAGCCGAGGAGCGACUCGGCAGGACGAGGGGAGCAGAGCAGCAGCCAGCCGCGCCUCGUCCAUGCCGCGUGGUGGCCCAGAUGCGGCCGCUCCCUGCUCUGUAUGCGCCCGUCGGCCUCGAUCCGACCUUGGCAGGAGGAGCUCGAGUCGAAGAGCGCGGCCUCGAUCCGGAAUCGGCAGGAGGAGGGGAGCAGCAGCCGGCACGCCUCGUCGCAAGUGAUCCCCCAUCUCUUCUGGUUGCACCUCCCCCUGGAUGGACCAUGGAUUUAAUUGUACCCUCUGAAAGCCACACAAAUUCAAGUAACCAAGAACUUCAGUGA